rfam:Acyrthosiphon pisum strain LSR1 Contig24318, whole genome shotgun sequence.
AAAAAGGCCCUUUUCAGGGCUACCAAUUUUUGAACUAUAAGCCUUA